rnacentral:rRNA from 1 species
AGGUUGACCUCGGAUCAGGUAGGGAUACCCGCUGAACUUAAGCAUAUCAAUAAGCGGAGGAAAAGAAACCAACAGGGAUUGCUCUAGUAACGGCGAGUGAAGCAGCAAUAGCUCAAAUUUGAAAUCUGGCGUCUUCGACGUCCGAGUUGUAAUUUGUAGAGGAUGCUUCUGAGUAACCACCGACCUAAGUUCCUUGGAACAGGACGUCAUAGAGGGUGAGAAUCCCGUAUGCGGUCGGAAAGGUGCUCUAUACGUAGCUCCUUCGACGAGUCGAGUUGUUUGGGAAUGCAGCUCUAAAUGGGAGGUAAAUUUCUUCUAAAGCUAAAUAUUGGCCAGAGACCGAUAGCGCACAAGUAGAGUGAUCGAAAGAUGAAAAGCACUUUGGAAAGAGAGUUAAAAAGCACGUGAAAUUGUUAAAAGGGAAGGGAUUGCAACCAGACUUGCUCGCGGUGUUCCGCCGGUCUUCUGACCGGUCUACUCGCCGCGUUGCAGGCCAGCAUCGUCUGGUGCCGCUGGAUAAGACUUGAGGAAUGUAGCUCCCUCGGGAGUGUUAUAGCCUCUUGUGAUGCAGCGAGCGCCGGGCGAGGUCCGCGCUUCGGCUAGGAUGCUGGCGUAAUGGUCGUAAUCCGCCCGUCUUGAAACACGGACCAAGGAGUCUAACAUCUAUGCGAGUGUUCGGGUGUCAAACCCCUACGCGUAAUGAAAGUGAACGGAGGUGAGAACCGCAAGGUGCAUCAUCGACCGAUCCUGAUGUCUUCGGAUGGAUUUGAGUAAGAGCAUAGCUGUUGGGACCCGAAAGAUGGUGAACUAUGCCUGAAUAGGGUGAAGCCAGAGGAAACUCUGGUGGAGGCUCGCAGCGGUUCUGACGUGCA